CACGUAGGCACCAAGCGUUGCCCGGAUUUAUUGGGCGUAAGGGCGCGUAGGCGGCUCGGCACGUCCGUUGUGAAAUCGCCCGGCUCAACUGGGCGGGGUCAGCGGAUACGGUCGAGCUUGAGCAAGCUAGGGGGUAAUGGAAUUCCCGGUGUAGUGGUGGAAUGCGUAGAUAUCGGGAGGAACACCAGUGGCGAAGGCGGUUACCUGGGGCUUUGCUGACGCUGAUGCGCGAAAGCGUGGGGAGCGAUCCGG
rnacentral:rRNA from 1 species